UAGUCCGCACGAGCGCACCCCUACUGUUAGUUGCCAGCAUGUAAUGAUGGGGACUCUAACAGGACUGCCUGCGCAAGCAGAGAGGAAGGAGGGGACGACGUCAAGUCAUCAUGGCCCUUACGCCCAGGGCUACACACGUGCUACAAUGGGGGGUACAAAGGGUUGCUACCUGGCAACAGGAUGCCAAUCUCAAAAAGCCUCUCUCAGUUCGGAUCGUGGUCUGCAACUCGACCACGUGAAGUUGGAAUCGCUAGUAAUCGCGCAUCAGCAAUGGCGCGGUGAAUACGUUCCCGGACCUU
rnacentral:rRNA from 1 species